rnacentral:lncRNA from 1 species
UUAAUUUUAUAAUUCUUAACGGAAGAAGUAUAUUUUUUGCAUUAACUAGAGAUUCCUUUCACAUAAAGGAGGCCAAUAAUAAAUAAAGAAUGUUAAGUUAUCCAUGUUAUAAAAUUAUAACAUAUAUAUUUAUGGAUGUCUAGAUUUAUAUUUAAUUAUAAUGAUCUUUGGUAUUUUGGAACUCCCAAGUUCAUUAAGUAACUCCAAUGUUCAUUAAGUUUUAAACUCAUGACUUUUGAGUUUUGAAACUUUCAAGUCCUUAUAUCUAUAAAUAAGAGCAUUGUAAAAGAGAAUGGUGGAUAUAUGAAUGAGAUAUGAAAAUAUUAUGAGACAUGCCUCUUUUCUCUAAUCAUUUAUUCUUAAUUUUAGUAAUUUUUUAUAACACGUUAUCAGCACGAAUUAAUUGCUCUUUAUUUUUGUCUUGUAGUAGAUAAUCAUAUUUGGUUUGUUGAUAAGAAGAAGAAAAAAAUAAUGGAACUUGAACUUUUAGCUUCCCUUGAGUAGUUGAGAAUGGACUCAGUUUUCAUGGUGAUUUAGCAGCAACAGUGUAAGUAUGGUUCAUACUACUUGUCUUAUUAUUUGAUUUUAAAUUUCUGUAUGGAAAUGAUAUUUUUGUUUCUGAAAUUUAUCCCAUAUCACUUUAUUUUAAUCUAUAUAUACAUCAUUUCCUGAGAUACUUAUUAUCAGGUUUCUAUUUGAUCUUGUGAUUAACACAAAUGUCAGGUUUCUGGUAGCCACUCUUCUCAUUAAACUUUAAAAAAUUGGUGCACCGCAAUAUUAACAUCAAUGCUAGCUGGUAGUUGACGAGGAUCAAAGUUAUAGUAAUUGGGCAUAUGUGAUUGACUUCCCUAUCAUACCCAUUACAUUGAGAAGAAAGUGGUAGAAAAUUUUGGAACUCAAAUGUUGAUUUUUAUUUUUUUAGGACCGUUUAAAAAUGUGGCAUUCAGUUCAGAGAGGUUUAACACAUACUGUACGUCCUGUCGUUGACUGAUAUACGUAUAAAUUGUAUUUUCUGCUCAUCUUCUUUAUUUUAUGUCAAAGUCUAAUAUACAUACGUAUACAAUAUUUUUGAUAGAAAAAUUAUGUUUCUGCUCCUAGAGUUAAUUAGUUUGUUUGCAGCAUAUAUAUGGUGUUUAGUCAAAUCAACAUAACGCUGAAAAUAAUGUUAUAGAUAUCCAAUUAUAUACGUAUAAUAUACAUAUACGUAUUGUUUCAUUACAAUUAAAUUUGAUAUACAUAUAAUCAUUUUGUUUAACAAAAGACGCGUGAGAC